rnacentral:rRNA from 1 species
AGUGGGGAAUUUUGGACAAUGGGGGAAACCCUGAUCCAGCCAUGCCGCGUGCGGGAAGAAGGCCUUCGGGUUGUAAACCGCUUUUAGCCGGGAAGAAAAGGCGGCCCCUAACACGGGUCGUUUUUGACGGUACCGGCGGAAUAAGCACCGGCUAACUACGUGCCAGCAGCCGCGGUAAUACGUAGGGUGCGAGCGUUAAUCGGAAUUACUGGGCGUAAAGCGUGCGCAGGCGGUUCGACAAGUCCGAUGUGAAAGCCCCGGGCUCAACCUGGGAACUGCAUUGGAAACUGGCGAGCUUGAGUGUGGCAGAGGGGGGUGGAAUUCCGCGUGUAGCAGUGAAAUGCGUAGAGAUGCGGAGGAACACCGAUGGCGAAGGCAGCCCCCUGGGCUAACACUGACGCUCAGGCACGAAAGCGUGGGGAGCAAA